AUUGAACGCUGGCGGCAUGCUUUACACAUGCAAGUCGAACGGUAACAGGCCUUCGGGUGCUGACGAGUGGCGAACGGGUGAGUAAUGCAUCGGAACGUACCCAGAGGUGGGGGAUAACGCAGCGAAAGCUGUGCUAAUACCGCAUGUGAUCUGAGGAUGAAAGCGGGGGUCCGAGCAGCAAUGUUUGGCCUCGCGCCUUUGGAGCGGCCGAUGUCGGAUUAGCUAGUUGGUGGGGUAAAGGCCUACCAAGGCGACGAUCCGUAGCUGGUCUGAGAGGACGACCAGCCACACUGGGACUGAGACACGGCCCAGACUCCUACGGGAGGCAGCAGUGGGGAAUUUUGGACAAUGGGCGCAAGCCUGAUCCAGCAAUGCCGCGUGCGGGAAGAAGGCCUUCGGGUUGUAAACCGCUUUUGGCAGGAACGAAACGGUGUCCGCUAAUACCGGGCGCUAAUGACGGUACCUGCAGAAUAAGCACCGGCUAACUACGUG
rnacentral:rRNA from 1 species